rnacentral:rRNA from 1 species
UAUAAAGAUUCUGCAUGGAACCUUUAUUAAAACUUAAGUGGCAACAGAUGAGCCUGCGUCUGAUAGAUAGUUGGUGAGGUAACGGCUCUACCAAGACGAUAAUCAGUAGGGGGCCUUAGAGGGUUUUCCUCCACACUGGAACUGAGACACGGACCAGACUUCUACGGGAGGCAGCAGUGAGGAAUAUUGGUCAAUGAAGGAAACUUUGAACCAGCUAUACCGCGUGUAGGAUGACAGCCUUUUUGGUUGUAAACUACUUUUGUAUAGAAAUAAAAAUUUCUACGUGAUAGUAAUCUGAAGGUCUGUAUACGAAUAAGUGUCAGCUAAUUUCGUGCCAGCAGCUGCGGUAAUACGUAAGACACAAGCGUUGUCCGGAUUUAUUGGGUUUAAAGGGUGUGUAGGCUGUUUAUUAAGUCAGUAGUGAAAGCUUACAGCUUAACUGUAAAAUAGCUAUUGAUACUGGUAAACUUGAGUAAGAUUGGAGUAUCUGGAAUGUAUGGUGUAGCGGUGAAAUGCAUAGAUAUCAUACAGAACACCAAUAGCGAAGGCAGGAUACUAAAUCUUUAUUGACGCUGAGGCACGAAAGCGUGGGUAGCAAACAGGAUUAGAUACCCUGGUAGUCCACGCCCUAAACGAUGAUCACUAGCUAUUGGAAAAACUAUAUUCAGUGGCUAAGCGAAAGCGAUAAGUGAUCCACCUGGGAAAUAUAAUCGCAAGAUUGAAACUCAAAGGAAUUGACGGGGUUUCGCACAAGCGGUGGAGCAUGUGGUUUAAUUCGAUGAUACGCGAGGAACCUUACCAAGGCUUAAAUGUAUUACGAAUAAGCUGGAAACAGCUUAGUCUACAAGACGGAAUACAAGGUGCUGCAUGGUUGUCUUCAGUUCGUGCUGUGAAGUGUUUGGUUAAGUCCUAUAACGAGCGCAACCCUUAUUGUUAGUUGCCAUCAGAUAAUGCUGGGGACUCUAACAAAACUGCCAGUGUAAACUGCGAGGAAGGCGAGGAUAAUGUCAA